CACCGCCACACUGGCCCAAGCCCAGAGGGUGGCAAGGUCUCCCCGCUGGUCUCCAGCAUCCGCCCUGCUGGCCCCUGCAGGCUCUUCUCCAGAAACAGCCGCCAGAGGGAUCCAGCUAAAUCCAGGUCGGAUUCUACUGACACCGCUGCUUUGCUUAAAACCCUCCAAUGGCUCCCAUCUCACUGAGGUCAAAGCCAAAGUCCUUCUGGUGGCCCCAAGGUCCGGGGUGCUCUGGCGCCUGGUCUCUCCCUCACCUGAGCUUCUUGCCACCCUCACUCUGCUCCAGCCACAUUGGAUCCCUGAUGCUCCUCAAACGCACCACUCUGCUCCAUCUCUCCCACCUGGAUGCUCUCCCCCCACAGACCCGCAUGGCUCACACCCACCACUGCUUCAGUCCUUUGCUCACAGGCAGCUCCUCAGACAGGCCUUCACUGACCGCUCUGUUUAAAAUUGAAAUGCCCCCCAGCAAACCCCGCCUCUUGCUUUGCUUUGAAACCGUCUCAUACCCCAUUCUGAUUUCUCACUUACUUAUCUCGUUCUAUUUUCUUUCUUCUGCCCUGGAAUCUAAGCUCCAUGAAGGUGGGAAUGCCUGCCUGCUGUAUCCUGAUGCCUGAAACAGUGCCUGGAACAACACGUGUGCUCGGUGGAUGUUUGCUGGAGGAGUGACGGCCCGGCAGAGGUCGGAGGGAGAGAAGCUGCACUCCGCGUGGCCCCUCCUCUCCUCUCAGCCCUGGACGAUGUCGGCAACGUGCCCACAUGGCAGCUCAAUUUUCUCGGAGCACCUGUCGACCCGUGGAGAGACAAACGCAGGCCCCAAAUGGAGCCAUGAUCAGGGGCUGGGAUUACUCCGUGCCACUGCUGGGGCCGGUGACAGGUCGUUCACGGCCAAGACAAGGCGUGGAAAGAGAAAGGAUGGAAGGGAGACGGCCAGGAGAGAGAGCAGGAAAAGAGAAGAUAAUGCCCUUGUGGCUUAUUUUUCAUUGCACUUACACCACAGCAGGAAUACUGGAAAUUGAAAUAGAAGGUGAAAAAAAAUCACCCACCGUCCUGACACCCUCCACAAAUCACACUGUGAUGUAUUUAUUUGUGCUGAGUGGCCCUGGGCAGAGGCCGAGGGCAGUGGCUUCAGAGAUAGAGCAGGGAACCAGGUUCCAGGGUCGCCCGGAGCGCCCAGCCUGGCUGCCCGGGUGCGAGCUGAGCCCAAGCAGAAGCAGGGCUGGCUUCCACUCCAGUCCCAUCUGGACAAUGGUCAGAGAAGCCAGGGCCUGAAAAGCACAGAGGCGGCGCCUCCAGGAAGAGGGGGAUGCAGGAGUGGGGCAAGAGGGAGGCAGGGCGGGCAGGGGUGAGAGGCCGGGGCUUCGUCACCCGACAGUCGAGAGUCAGUCUCAGCUCCUGGCUCCUGGCUGGGUGAUCUUGGGCAACUUACAUAACCUCUCUGAGCCUCAGUUUCAGCUUUUCCAAAAUGGGAAUAUAUAUCUCACAGGGUUAUUGAGGAGAGUAAAUAAUAUCAUAUUUACAUAAUUACAUUUAGGUAUUUAGAUAUAAUAGUAUAUAUAAAUGUAUGUUAUAUAUUAAUAGAUAUACAAUUUAGCACAUGUGUAUCGUUUUGCUUAUGUAGAAAUCCCUCUGUCAAUGAUAGCUGUUAUUACUGUUACUGUUAUUAUUAUAUUACAAGGAAUAACAGAUUGAAGAGGUGAAAGAAAUUGGAACAAAAAUGCUUUUCUUCUCACAUGUUUAACCAACGUUUUGAACCCGGUAGACAGAGAAGAGACCUUCUUAGGAAGCGCAAGAUAAUGGCUGUUUUCCAGCAAAAAAAGAAAAAAGUGUGAUAACAUAUCACACACGCACACACACACACGUCUUCUUUAACCAAGAUCAAGCUAAUGUGAUUACCACGCCCCUGAGCACUGCCCGGGCUCCUGUUUCCUCUGCGGGGCUUCCCGGGCAGAACUCCCACCUCAGAGUCUAAAAUCCCGCCAAGUGGGGAACUGAGAGCUCAGAACAUUGCAAGAACCCUGUGAUUCAAGGAAACACACAGCACGGGAGGUGAGUGAGCUCCUGGAUUCCGUCUGCCUCCCAUUUCUUCUCCAGGUGCCACCCUCGAAGGAGCAGCCUGGCAGCCGGGAGGACAGCCCUGUGACGGGAUGCAAGGGUGCAGAGCGGACCUCACAGACUCUGAUGUGUGUCACCCUGAGCUGAUCCUUUGACAUCUCCAAGCCUCAGUUUCCCCAUCUGUAGGUGGCGGUCAUAAGAUUCUACUUCCUGGGCUGCUGGCGGUGACUAAAUGAGCUGGCCUGUGCAAAACAAAUAGCGUGAUGUCUGGCCCGUCAGAUGCUCUCAUGGUGGAUGCUGUGGGCGCUCUCCAGGCCCACUGGCGCUCAUCUUUCCUGCAAAAGCCAAUGGCUCCUACAGCUGCCCUCUGCAGGACCCUUCCCAGAGCCCUCGCUCACUGCAUGAGCACUUCCAGCUCUCCCACGGGGAUGACGGACAAGAGCUGGUGGAUAAAUACCUGGCUUCUUUGCUCCCCGCCUGGGGCAACUCUGAGGCCUGCUCUACAAGGCUCCUGGAGGCCCCCGGGGGGGGUGGGGGGGGUGAGCCCAGCCGCCCACAGCCGCUGCUUGCUCAUUAACACACCCUGUAUUGGCUUCCUUCCUGUACCUCUUCCAUCUUCACUUCUCCCCCCAGCGUGUCCCAGGAUCACCUCUCAAAUAAACUACUCGCACUCCUGUCUCUGUCCCUGGGC
rnacentral:lncRNA from 1 species